GACGAACGCUGGCGGCGUGCUUAACACAUGCAAGUCGAACGGAAAGGCCCUGCUUUUGUGGGGUGCUCGAGUGGCGAACGGGUGAGUAACACGUGAGUAACCUGCCCUUGACCUUGGGAUAACUUCAGGAAACUGGGGCUAAUACCGGAUAGGAGCUCCUGCUGCAUGGUGGGGGUUGGAAAGUUUCGGCGGUUGGGGAUGGACUCGCGGCUUAUCAGCUUGUUGGUGGGGUAGUGGCUUACCAAGGCUUUGACGGGUAGCCGGCCUGAGAGGGUGACCGGCCACAUUGGGACUGAGAUACGGCCCAGACGCCUACGGGAGGCAGCAGUGGGGAAUAUUGCACAAUGGGCGGAAGCCUGAUGCAGCAACGCCGCGUGCGGGAUGACGGCCUUCGGGUUGUAAACCGCUUUCGCCUGUGACGAAGCGUGAGUGACGGUAAUGGGUAAAGAAGCACCGGCUAACUACGU
rnacentral:rRNA from 1 species